rnacentral:rRNA from 1 species
CCCUCAAGAUGAGAUUUCCCAUUACGCAAGUAAGUAAGAUCCCUCAAAGACGAUGAGGUAGAUAGGUUCGAGGUGGAAGUGUGGUGACACAUGGAGCUGACGAAUACUAAUCGAUCGAGGACUUAACCAA